rnacentral:rRNA from 1 species
ACGCUCGACACCUACGGGAGCAGCAGUGGGGAAUAUUGGGCAAUGGGCGCAAGCCUGCCCAGCAACGCCGCGUGAAGGAAGAAGGCCCUCGGGUUGUAAACUUCUUUUGACAGGGACGAAACAAAUGACGGUACCUGUCGAAUAAGCCACGGCUAACUACGUGCCAGCAGCCGCGGUAAUCUGAGCGGGCUGGCAAGGC